rnacentral:rRNA from 1 species
AUGAGAAUUCUAAGGUGAGCGAGCGAACUCUCGUUAAGGAACUCGGCAAAAUGACCCCGUAACUUCGGGAGAAGGGGUGCUCUUUAGGGUUAACGCCCAGAAGAGCCGCAGUGAAUAGGCCCAAGCGACUGUUUAUCAAAAACACAGGUCUCUGCUAAACCGUAAGGUGAUGUAUAGGGGCUGACGCCUGCCCGGUGCUGGAAGGUUAAGAGGAGUGGUUAGCUUCUGCGAAGCUACGAAUCGAAGCCCCAGUAAACGGCGGCCGUAACUAUAACGGUCCUAAGGUAGCGAAAUUCCUUGUCGGGUAAGUUCCGACCCGCACGAAAGGCGUAACGAUUUGGGCACUGUCUCAACGAGAGACUCGGUGAAAUCAUAGUACCUGUGAAGAUGCAGGUUACCCGCGACAGGACGGAAAGACCCCGUGGAGCUUUACUGUAGCCUGAUAUUGAAAUUCGGCACAGCUUGUACAGGAUAGGUAGGAGCCUUUGAAACGUGAGCGCUAGCUUACGUGGA